GACGAACGCUGGCGGCGUGCUUAACACAUGCAAGUCGAACGGAAAGGCCCUGCUUGCAGGGUACUCGAGUGGCGAACGGGUGAGUAACACGUGGGUGAUCUGCCCUGCACUUCGGGAUAAGCCUGGGAAACUGGGUCUAAUACCGGAUAGGAGCCAUUUUUAGUGUGAUGGUUGGAAAGUUUUUUCGGUGUAGGAUGAGCUCGCGGCCUAUCAGCUUGUUGGUGGGGUAAUGGCCUACCAAGGCGGCGACGGGUAGCCGGCCUGAGAGGGUGGACGGCCACAGUGGGACUGAGAUACGGCCCAGACUCCUACGGGAGGCAGCAGUGGGGAAUAUUGCACAAUGGGCGCAAGCCUGAUGCAGCGACGCCGCGUGGGGGACGACGGCCUUCGGGUUGUAAACUCCUUUCGCUAGGGACGAAGCUUUUUGUGACGGUACCUAGAUAAGAAGCACCGGCUAACUACGUG
rnacentral:rRNA from 1 species